rnacentral:lncRNA from 1 species
CAAUUUCUGUAGCCCUCUGAGGCUCUGCUCACCUGUCCAUCCACAGGCUGUCUCUUGGCCCGCAGACUCUGCUCUUACCUGGAAGUCUGUGCCAAAGAAGGACAGAGCCAGGUGGGAAUGCAGCGGGCCAGGUCCCGGCGAGAAGUCAUCACCCUGGUCUUCGGAUACUGGCAAGGUGUGCUCCAGCAGCUCGUGCCUCAAGGACUGUUCUGGAAGGAUGAUGUCACUCAAGCUGUGAAGACCCAGAAGAUGGAGCACAUGCCCAGGCUCCAUGCCUCAGAGACCUGCAUGAGAGAUGAGUAGACAGCCUUUUCCACCAAAACCACCACGCCAAGGUGUGGGAGGCCUGUGGUCUGUCCACGCUGCGCAUGACCGGUAGACAGAACAGUGGGAAGGGAAGGAGUGUCAGGGCUGCAGGUAGGAGCUGUCAGAAGUCCAGGGAAUAGAAUGAAGAGAGCACCUGUCUGAUUUCAGCCCGAAGCAAUCCCAUGAUACAGUGGUGAUGUCUGCAAAGGGAGGGGAUUGGGACGCAAGGCUACUACUUGGUAUCUCUGGCUUAAUCUUUGUCUUCUAGGGACAAGUGCAAAGAGAAACUCUUCGUUGUUUGCUGUUCGCUAGGGUGAGGGGCCUUCAGGGAUUUUGAAAUUCUUCAUUUGGAUCCCAUCUCUUUUCCUCUGGGCCUUUUCACAUCUUCUCUUCAUCUUUGACUCCUGCCUUCCUUCCCCUCAGAGCCCAGUGACCAAGGUGAACAAGGAGCAAUGCUUGAGCUCUGAAAUGGUUUCAGAGGUCGUGAACCAAGAGAUGACCACCCAUGGCCAGGCCCCACUGUAGGUGAGGGCCUGGCCUUGUCUGGGAAUGCUGAACCCACCCAGGGCCUGUUUAUAGAGGGAGGCAGGGUGAAGGAGGGAAUAGACAUUGGUUGAUAAGGAAUGACAAGACUUCACUGGGGCUGAUGGAGAACCUUCUGGAAGAGAGCUCCUGGAGGAUGGAAAAGAACAGAGUUUUCAGUACAAAGCCAGCCCAAUCCGGGCUCUACCGCUGCCCGGCUGUGACCUUGGACACAUUCCCUAGGCUCUUUAAGUCCUUUCUUCCACAUCUGUAACAUGGGGAUGGUAAUAAAGGCGACCCCUCUGGUGUUGCUGUGUGGAUU